GUCUUCAUGGUGUAGUGGUUAUCACGUGUCCUUCACAGUACAAUUCUAGUGUUGGCUGAUGAUGUCCGGACAAGGUCUCCGGUUCGACCCCGGAUGAGGACA